rnacentral:rRNA from 1 species
GACGAACCGAGCAAACGUUAUUCGGAAUCACUGGGCUUAAAGGGCGCGUAGGCGGGUCGUACAGUCUAUGGUGAAAUCCUCCAGCUUAACUGGAGAACUGCCGUGGAUACUCACGACCUCGAGGAAUGUAGGGGCAUCUGGAACUGGUGGUGGAGCGGUGAAAUGCGUUGAUAUCAUCAGGAACUCCGGUGGCGAAGGCGAGGUGCUGGACAUUUUCUGACGCUGAGGCGCGAAAGCCAGGGGAGCAAACGGG